CACCAGAACCAGCAGCAGCAGCAACAGCAGCAGCAGCAGCAGGACUCGGUGUGGGGAAUGAAUCACAGUACACUCCAUUCAGUAUUUCAGACCAAUCAGAGCAACAACCAACAAUCCAAUUUUGAGGCCGUGCAAAGUGGCAAGAAGAAGAAAAAGCAGAAGAUGGUCCGAGCAGAUCCUAGUUUACUAGGCUUUUCAGUCAACGCGUCAUCGGAGCGACUCAACAUGGGCGAAAUCGAGACUGUGGAUGACUACUGAGUACCUGCCAGGGCCUGGCUCCCCUCUCCUACCUGCCGACCGUGGACCCUCCGCUCUUGGACGCGACACCCACACCGUUUACUCCUCCUCACUCUGCAGCGAGCCUCAGAGCCCGUCAUCUCAGGCUUUCCCUUCUAGCCCUUUGUGUCCAGGACUCUCUAAACUGGUUUUGUUGGUGAGCAUCUCAGACUGUAGACGAGGGACGGACCUGUAUCUCGGGGUGGCAGUUGGGAUCGCUCCCCAACAAGGCUGAUGUCCGGCAGCACGCGUGCCCUGUCCGUGAUUUCAUCUGCUGUCCCCCAGAGACGGUGUCGGGUCUGCCAAGAGCAGCUUUCUCCUGUCGCUUUUCCCUUCUGUUUCGUUUGUCCUUUCCCCCACGCCCCGCCCCCCCCUAGGCAAGAGGUCUGCCUGGUGCAAUCAUGACGAGAGCUGUAGUUCCCAGGGGCGGCAGCACCUCGCCCGGGCUGUGACUGCGUUCCAAAGUCACCCACUGCCGACCUUGGGAGCGGGUCGGAGGCCCGGGCUGGGGUUAGAUCCAGCGGUUUGACUGUGCACACCCCUUGCCUGUUCCUCCUGAGCAUCCUUUCAGAGAAAGGAUCCCGUUUGUCUUCAUUAGAUAGUGACUUCCGAGCAAGCUGACUUCUCCCCGAUGUACUCCUACCUGAUUGGACAGAGGAAACCCUAUGGCCUGGGAGAGGGACUUAUCAUUUUUCUUUCUUAUAAAAACUGAUUUUUCCCAUAAAUAUUUUUACUUCAGAGGACUAGGACCAGUUUGUUUCAGGCCCUUCUGCUUAAAAUUUGUCUCGUUUAAGAGGCAACUAGGAUCUUUACCAUGUAUGAAUUUGUAUAAUUUCAUUUUGGAUAGGGAUAAACUUUUGCUUCCGAUAAAAGCCUGGAAUUUCAUCUGGUUCCUCAGAGCAUUGCGUGUGUGUCUUGCUGUGGCCCUGAAAAGGUUUUGUUAAAAGAUUCUGGAUUGGCCUUUUCCGAAGAGAACAUAACCCAACCAUCUUUAAGACCUGCCUCCGUGGAGACCACUAUACAGGAGGCGGCAGGGGAUGGGAGGGGAUGGGCAGGGUUGGAGCGAGCUGCCUGGCUCCUCCUGUCCUGGCUGUGGCCUCCUAGCGCCCUCCACUUCAAGUAGAAAUGUCCUCGAGCCCUAUCUAUACACAGACACUCUGCCUGCCUCACCAGAGCCCACAGAGCAGCGCCCCGAACUGCCAGUCACGCUGGUCAGAGCCGGUGGGCCCUGUGCCUGCCCGAGAGGUGCCGUGGUCUGGGGGCUCCUGGGGAAGCUCCUUUUCUGUCGUUGCCUGGAGAGGGCUGGAGUUGCUCUGAGAGCAGUUCGGUUUUGGAGGGUUAUGUUUGGUUUUUAUUCUGAUUAUUUUGGAUCACUAUUCUCCCUAUUCCUUCUUACCUCCCUCCCUCCUAAAUGUGUACAAUAAUAUACAGAGACUGCUACAUACUUGUACAUAGUUUUUGGAUCAAAUAGCAUGAGGAGAUGGGGAACCAUUAAAAAUUGGGGCUCCUACUCUUCUUUGCUUUGUAAAUUCAAAAGUGGGGGGUGGGGAAGAGGGAUAGUUAAAAUGUUUACAAAACUUUAAGCUCCCUCGGAACUUUUGCCAGUGUGGAGGAAAAUAAAAAAGAACUUAAAUAAAAUCUGGUUGUAUUCUGUCAGAACACACCUCUUGUCGAGGCUGGGUUUUGCACUGUGCUGUUCUUGUCACCAUGGACAAGCCCCAGGCCCCUGAGCACCCAAGACGUGCUGCAGCCGUGGGGUCAGCUGUGGCCUUCUCCGCCCGGCUGUGAACACUAGUUGGUUCUGUGUGUGGGUGUAGAGGUCGGGGUAAACAUUGGUGAGUCUGACCACGUGUCUUUCCGCUUUGACUGUCCCUCUGCUGACGUGGGGUCGGCUCCUAGCCUCACACCACAGAUGGGCCCCUCCGAGUGCCUCUCCAGAACCUCUCCACCCACAUCUACACUGGGCUCCACUGUGCGCUGGAACAUAAAAAUAAGUUUAAAGAAAUUGGAAGGGGAGGGGAGUGGGCAGAUGAGUGGGAACAAAGUCCUUGCAGUCAUGGGACAGCCCAGUUGCUUAACCAGGAGCCUUGCUUCUGUGUGAGGAAUUUCCCACUCGGUAGAGAGGAUCACUCUGGCCUGGCAAUGCUUGUUUCUCUCCUCUGUCCUGGCUCUUCCACUUAGAGCUGUGGGUUUCUUACCUCCUUCCAGAAGCUUUCUUCCAUGUUCCCUAACCCUUCCUGGAUUUUCAGGGUGAUUGUACUCCCUGGAAAAAGAUGAAGGGGGGAGGAAAAGUGAGAAAACACCUCCUGUGUGAACCUCAUCAUUCGUCAUUCACAGAAAGACCUGUCUUUAUCAGCGAAAAACCGAGUAAGGUGCUGAUUUCCAGCCUCACCUGAACUGCACUAUCCCACGCAGUUCUGAAGAGAGCGACACAGAGGCAGCCUGAAGGCAGAGGCCGGGCGGUUCGGUGGGCGCGGCGGCGCAGUGUGACGGGUGGUCAGACGUGAGUGUGGUCUUGCACUGUCGCGAUGGAACACUACUCCGUUAUGAUCAGCGAGCUCUGGACGUUCCUGGAUGAUGGAUCCAGUGAAACUGUCCAGUUGCCGACAGUGCACAUUUGAACUGAUUGUUUCCUUGGUAGAAGUUCAAAAACAAGACACCUUUAAGAUCCCAGCGUUGAAGGUGAAUCAUCACGUUGGGGCCGGGACGCUGUGGCACACGUGGUUGUAAACAGCCCACUUCUCAUCACCCGAUAUCGGUUGCUUCAAAAGGGCUUGUCUCCCUCAGGUUUAGUGAGCACGUCGCAGAUGCUCAUCCACGCUGUCAAAUGAACGUCUUUUUUGAGCUCAUGAGGAACCCAAAUAUCGGGCUUGCUGACGUGCCCCAGCUUCCUCGGGCGACCGUGAACACCUGCGUGGUGGAUGUUCACUGUUUCUGCAAUCUCUCGCAGUGUGUGUCGUGGGCUCGACUCGGUCAGCGCCUUUAUUUUGUCGUCAUCAGCCUCGGGGUGCCUCCCUGACCGAGGACCAGCGUCGAGAUCAAAUGAUCACUUCAUUUCUUUAGAAUGAAGCUAGAGCUGUCGGCUGUCAAAUGACGCAGCAGUGACAUAGAUGGGGAUGCUCUUAGAACUCCCAAACGUGGACUAGCGCCAUCUAUUACAAAAUGCACCAUGACGUUUCCGACAGCCCAGUACUCAG